rnacentral:rRNA from 1 species
AGAGCGAACGCUGGCGGCAGGCCUAACACAUGCAAGUCGAGCGCCCGUAGCAAUACGGGAGCGGCAGACGGGAUAGUAACACGUGGGAACGCGCCCUUCGGUUCGGAAUAACUCAGGGAAACUUGAGCUAAUACCGAAUACGCCCUUACGGGGAAAGAUUUAUUGCCGAAGGAACGGCCCGCGUCCGAUUAGCUAGUUGGUGAGGUAAUGGCUCACCAAGGCUACGAUCGGUAGCUGGUCUGAGAGGAUGACCAGCAUCACUGGGACUGAGACACGGCCCAGACUCCUACGGGAGGCAGCAGUGGGGAAUAUGGACAAUGGGCGAAAGCCUGAUCCAGCCAUGCCGCGUGGAUGAUGAAGGCCUUAGGGUUGUAAAGUCUUUAACGGGAAGAUAAUGACGUACCGUAGAAUAAGCCCGGCUAACGUUCGCGCCAGCAGCCGC